rnacentral:rRNA from 1 species
GCUUACGGCCAUACCACCCUGAACGUCCGAUCUCGGAAGCUAAGCAGGGUCGGGCCUGGUUAGUACUUGGAUGGGAGACCGCCUGGGAAUACCAGGUGCUGUAAGCU